UCGUGGAGCUACGGCUCUUCGAGGGAGAACCCUUGCCUUUUCGAGCACCUGUUUGUUUCCUCGGCAGGCCCGCCUGCCAAUGGGGACCCUUUAAACCUCUUGCAAUAACCUGUACAAAAUCGUCUGAACUAAAAAAAAAUCUAAAUCA
rnacentral:misc_RNA from 1 species